UAUCUCAAAUGUGGUGUUUGGUUUAUCUCAUUUUGCAGAAGUCAAGAAACAGGUUACUCCUGUUUGAGUGAGGAAAAGUUGGUUUGCCUGUCUGUGGUCUUUUUAUAAUCUUUUUCUACAGAAGAGAAAGUGGGUAAUUUUGUUUGAGAGUGGAAAUAUUCUCUAGUGGGAAUCUACUAGGAGUAAUUUAUUUUCUAUAAACUAAGUAAAGUUUGGAAGGUGACAAAAAGAAAGACAAAAAUCUUGGAAUUGUUUUAGACAACCAAGGUUUUCUUGCUCAGAAUGUCUGUUGCCUUGUUAUGGGUUGUUUCUCCUUGUGACGUCUCAAAUGGGACAAGUUUCAUGGAAUCAGUCCGGGAGGGAAACCGUUUUUUUGAUUCAUCGAGGCAUAGGAAUUUGGUGUCCAAUGAGAGAAUCAAUAGAGGUGGUGGAAAGCAAACUAAUAAUGGACGGAAAUUUUCUGUACGGUCUGCUAUUUUGGCUACUCCAUCUGGAGAACGGACGAUGACAUCGGAACAGAUGGUCUAUGAUGUGGUUUUGAGGCAGGCAGCCUUGGUGAAGAGGCAACUGAGAUCUACCAAUGAGUUAGAAGUGAAGCCGGAUAUACCUAUUCCGGGGAAUUUGGGCUUGUUGAGUGAAGCAUAUGAUAGGUGUG
rnacentral:lncRNA from 1 species